rnacentral:rRNA from 1 species
UACGUAGGGGGCAAGCGUUGUCCGGAAUCAUUGGGCGUAAAGCGCGUGUAGGCGGUCCGGUAAGUUCGGUUGUGAAAGUCCAGGGCUCAACUGAGGAAGUGCGCCCGAAACUGCAGAGCUUGAGUGCCGGAGAGGGUGGCGGAAUUCCCCAAGUAGAGGUGAAAUUCGUAGAUAUGGGGAGGAACACCGGUGGCGAAGGCGGCCACCUGGACGGCAACUGACGCUGAGACGCGAAAGCGUGGGGGAGCAAACAGG